UACGUAGGGGGCAAGCGUUGUCCGAAAUUAUUGGGCGUAAAGAGCGUGUAGGCGGUCCGGUAAGUCAGCUGUGAAAGUCAAGGGCUCAACCCUUGAAAGCCGGUUGAUACUGUCGGGCUAGAGUCCGGAAGAGGCGAGUGGAAUUCCCGGUGUAGCGGUGAAAUGCGCAGAUAUCGGGAGGAACACCAAUGGCGAAGGCAGCUCGCUGGGACGGUACUGACGCUGAGGUGCGAAAGCGUGGGGAGCAAACAGG
rnacentral:rRNA from 1 species